UGNAAGGCAUAUGCUUGUCUCAAAGAUUAAGCCAUGCAAGUCUAAGUUUAAGCACAUAAACGGCGAAACUGCGAAUGGCUCAUUAAAUCAGUUAUCGUAUAUUUGAUAGUACCUACUACAUGGAUAACCGUGGUAAUUCUAGAGCUAAUACAUGCUUAAAAUCCCGACUCCGGAAGGGAUGUAUUUAUUAGAUUAAAAACCAAUGCCCUUCGGGGCUCACUGGUGAUUCAUAAUAACUUCUCGAAUCGCAUGGCCUUGUGCCGGCGAUGGUUCAUUCAAAUUUCUGCCCUAUCAACUUUCGACGGCUGGGUAUUGGCCAGCCGUGGUUACAACGGGUAACGGAGGGUUAGGGCUUGACCCCGGAGAAGGAGCCUGAGAAACGGCUACUACAUCCAAGGAAGGCAGCAGGCGCGCAAAUUAUCCAAUCCCGACACGGGGAGAUAGUGACAAUAAAUACUGAUACAGGGCUCUUUUGGGUCUUGUAAUUGGAAUGAGUACAAUUUAAAUCCCUUAACGAGGAACAAUUGGNNNNNNNNNNNNNNNNNNNNNNNNNGGUAAUUCCAGCUCCAAUAGGCGUAUAUUAAAGUUGUUGCAGUUAAAAAGCUCGUAGUUGAACCUUGGGCCUGGUUGGUUGGUCUGCCUCACCGCAUGCACUGAUCCGACCGGGUCUUUCCCUCUGGGGAUCCGCAUGCUAUUUAUUUAGUGUGUCGGGGAACCAGGACUUUUACUGUGAAAAAAUUAGAGUGUUCAAAGCAGGCCUAUGCUCGAAUACAUUAGCAUGGAAUAAUAGAAUAGGACGUGUGGUUCUAUUUUGUUGGUUUCUAGGACCGCCGUAAUGAUUAAUAGGGACAGUCGGGGGCAUCAGUAUUCAAUCGUCAGAGGUGAAAUUCUUGGAUCGAUUGAAGACUAACUACUGCGAAAGCAUUUGCCAAGGAUGUUUUCAUUAAUCAGGAACGAAAGUUAGGGGAUCGAAAACGAUCAGAUACCGUUGUAGUCUUAACCAUAAACUAUGCCGACUAGGGAUCGGACGAUGUUAUUUUUUGACUCGUUCGGCACCUUACACGAAAGUAAAGUUUUUGGGUUCU
rnacentral:rRNA from 1 species